AGGCGUGGCUUCUUUUCGCUCUACCCGCCCCCCGCAGCCCCCGCGGAGGCUGCUGGCGGGCCACGCCCCUUGAGCCCGGAGGGACUCGCGCGGGUCUAGAGGGGCGGAGUCUUCUUCGUGACCUUUCACCCCAGCAUGGCUGCGCCCUUGGGACCAGUGAAAUUCUGGAAACCGGGUACAGAAGGGCCAGGUGUCAGCAUUUCUGAAGAGAGACAAAGUGUCACCGAGAACUCUGGGACAACCAUCAUUUACAAUCCCUACGCUGCCCUUUCUAUAGAGCAGCAGCGGCAGAAGCUGCCCGUGUUCAAGCUUAGGAACCACAUUUUGUACUUGGUAGAAAACUAUCAGACCGUGGUGAUUGUUGGAGAAACAGGAUGUGGGAAGAGCACCCAGAUUCCACAGUACCUGGCAGAAGCUGGCUGGACAGCGGAAGGACGAGUGGUCGGAGUGACCCAGCCUCGCAGAGUGGCUGCCGUGACGGUUGCAGGCCGAGUAGCUGAUGAAAGGGGUGCAGUGCUGGGCCAUGAAGUGGGCUACUGUAUCCGCUUCGAUGACUGCACCGACCCACUGGCCACCAGAAUCAAGUUCCUUACAGAUGGCAUGCUGGUCAGAGAAAUGAUGGUGGAUCCGCUGUUAACAAAAUAUAGUGUCAUCAUGCUGGAUGAAGCCCACGAGAGGACCUUGUACACGGACAUUGCCAUUGGCUUGCUGAAGAAGAUUCAGAAAAAGCGAGGGGAUCUUCGCUUGAUUGUGGCCUCAGCCACUCUGGACGCAGAGAAAUUUCGAGAUUUCUUUAACCAGAAUGAGACCAGUGACCCAGCCAGAGAUACCUCUGUGACGCUCACAGUGGAAGGACGGACAUUUCCAGUGGAUAUCUUUUACCUACAAAGUCCUGUUCCAGAUUAUAUCAAGGCAACUGUGGACACCGUGGUAAAAAUUCAUCAGACAGAAGGAGAUGGAGACAUACUAGCCUUUCUUACUGGCCAGGAAGAAGUAGAGACUGUUGUGUCCAUGUUGAUCGAGCAGGCCCGGGCGCUGGCUCGCACUGGGAUGAAGAAACACCUCCGGGUCCUCCCCAUGUAUGCAGGACUGCCUUCUUUUGAGCAGAUGAAGGUGUUUGAAAGGGUGUCACACAGCGUCAGGAAGGUGAUCGUGGCCACCAAUGUGGCAGAGACUUCCAUCACAAUCAGUGGCAUUGUGUAUGUGAUUGACUGUGGCUUUAUGAAGCUGCGAGCCUACAACCCCAGGACAGCUAUUGAAUGCUUGGUGGUGGUACCAGUGUCUCAGGCGUCAGCCAAUCAGCGGGCAGGACGUGGUGGGCGCAACCGCUCGGGAAAGUGUUAUCGCCUUUACACAGAGGAAGCCUUUGACCAGCUACCUCAGUCCACCGUCCCUGAGAUGCAGCGCAGCAAUUUGGCCCCCGUCAUCCUGCAGCUAAAAGCCCUAGGGAUAGACAAUGUCCUCAGGUUCCACUUCAUGUCUCCCCCGCCAGCACAGUCGAUGGUUCAAGCCUUGGAGCUGCUCUAUGCUCUCGGAGGUCUGGACAAAGACUGUCGCCUAACUGAGCCUCUUGGCAUGAGAAUUGCAGAGUUUCCUCUGAACCCCAUGUUUGCCAAGAUGCUGCUGGAAUCAGGGAACUUCGGCUGUUCUCAGGAGGUCCUGAGUAUCGCCGCCAUGAUGCAGAUCCAGAAUGUCUUCGUGUUCCCCUCAAACCAGAAGUCUCAGGCAACUCGAGUGCACCGGAAAUUUGCUGUGGAAGAGGGUGACCAUCUCACCAUGCUCAAUGUGUAUGAAGCGUUUAUCAAACACAACAAGAGCUCACAGUGGUGUCAGGAGCAUUUCCUGAAUUACAAGGGUCUUGUCAGAGCUGCCACCGUGAGAGACCAGUUGAAAAAGCUCCUUGUCAAGUUCCAGGUGCCCAAGGUGUCCAGCGAAGGUGACCCGGAUCCAGUCCUGAGGUGCAUCGUGUCGGGGUUCUUUGCGAAUGCAGCCCGGUUUCACUCCAGUGGAGCCUAUCGGACUAUUCGUGAUGACCACGAGCUGCACAUCCACCCUGCCUCAGUUCUCUAUGCAGAGAAGCCACCCCGCUGGUAAGCCCCUCCCCCGCUGGUAAGCCCCUCCCCUGAUGGGAAGCCCCUCCCCCGCUGGUAAGCCCCUCCCCUGCUGGGAAGCCCCUCCCCCCGCUGAGCUUGGCCCUGCUCAUCUCUGGGUCUCCAAGCCUAGGCUUGCAGUACAGGUGCUCCCUCCACGCUGUUGACGUUGGUGUGCUGGGUUGCCAGGGUUUGUACUCUUGUCAAGGGUCCCCUAAAGGUAGAGAGUCCUCCAGUUACUGCUGAGCUGCCUUGCGCUGUGCUCAGUAAAAUAUCCUUUUGAGAAAUCUCUGUAAGUAUUGAUGAUUACUUCCUCCCUUGUCCUCCCAACAAAAUACUUUUGUUGGUGACAGAAGGAUUGUGGGUUGGGGCCACUUGGGCAGUUUGUCUUCUGCAAAAAUAAAAAGUGUGACAAGGAGCAGCAAAGGUGCUCGCUGUGACCACAGACUGAGGCUUCCUGCAGCAGGCACAGCAUGUAGGGAUGACUUAGAACCCAGCUGAAGUCUUAUUUACCAGGCGAACAGAUUGAAGUCCCGUAGGAGAAGCUUUUCUGAAGGGCUGUGCUAUUGCAGUGUGUGUGCACUGUGUGCUCUGCUGUGGGUUGGCACUGAAGGUGCUGGGAAGCCAGGCUGUACAGGUUCUCACGGAGAAGCUAACCCUUGCUCUGGACCUGGUGACUGGCAUUUUUUAGAUUGUCAAAGGUUAGAAAAUUUAAAGAGAGCAACACUGGACUCUUUAGGAGCUGAAAGAACAGUGCAUGUGUGGUGAGCCGUGGGAAGGACAGUCUGGGAGCACCGUGUCAGGACCUCGUACCCUGCUCUGCAGGCAGCAGCCUCCCCUGGAACCACUCGCACCCAGCCUUCCUCAGUCAGAACCGGGGGUUAUCUACAAUGAAGUAAUACAGACCUCCAAGUAUUACAUGCGAGAUGUGACCGCCAUAGAAUCUGCUUGGCUGCUGGAGCUGGCUCCCCACUUUUAUCAACAAGGAACGCACCUGUCCCUGAAAGCCAAAAGGGCCAAGGUCCAAGAUCAGUGAGUGGAGCUCGGCAAGUGGCUGCAGGGAUGCAGAGUGUGGCAUCCUUCCUUCGUGUUGUCUCUGGCACCAGAUCAGGUGGAACAGGCAGACAGUCCGCUGUGGGCUGCACCCUGCUCAUUAGCUCCCCUUUCUGCUCCCCUCAGCAUUGGCCAUCCUCACUGGGCCCCAGAGGAGUCUGAGCAUGGCCAGUGUUCUGCUGUACUGCGUGCUGGCCAAGCAGGAGUUGGCUGAGCUGUGCACUGGGCCCGGUCCUCACCCUCAGCAGCCCGCAUGCUACUCCAGUAGGCACAGUCCUGGUCCAGUUCUGUGGUGAGGAACGUGAGCUGCUGAAGGCUGCAGGCCGUGUAGACAGGGCUCUCUUGGCCUCCUGUGUCUUGCCUGCUGUGGCCAUAGUUGCUGAUCACUGAGGUCAGCUGCUGCUAUGUGCGUUAAGUAUAAAAGGAAAUGCCGGGCAUUUCCAUCAAGAUCCCCAGAGCUGUGCGAGGCACAGGGGCUUCCAAUCGAAGCAGCUUUUUCCUCCCCUCUGCCCGUGCGCCUGCCUGUCUGCAGUGGGAGACAGAGCAGUGACGGGGGUCACUCGGGAGACUCAGCCCCUGCCUUUGCUAGUCACCUGCUUUGCAAGUGGACUUCGCUCUCUCUCCGAUCACGAUGCCACACCCUGGGCCAGUGGCUGGGCGCCAGCGAACGUUCACCAACCUCGACCCAUGGGGCUUCUCUUUAGCAGGAACUCACUACAGUUUAGACGCCCUAAACUUGUGUAGCUCAGGAACAUAACUCUUGUAUAUUUCUCUUUGUUUGUUUGCUUGCAUUCUUGCAAGAACACAGGCAGCUCCCGGGCUCUGUUCCCACUGCACCAGGGUUGCCUUGCGAUGACAGCGAUGGCACUUCAGCACACAGCAAGACAGACUCUCCUGUACUGUUUCAAUGACGUUUAUUUUAACACCGUAGCUUGAAAGUUUAUUUUUGUACUGGUCUUAGUUUGGAUGUGUCACUUUUGGCACCAAACCUAUGUCAUUUUUAUUUCCAUUUUAUAAUGUGUAAAUAGCUGUGGUAAGUUGUUAAAUGUAGUAAAUAUUUCUACCUGAGGGGACAUGUUU